ACUCCCACUGGGCUGAAGGACGAAAAUGGAACUGCCCGAGUCUUCCUGGUCCUAACGCAGUUACCCAUGCAGAUUAAACCGCUGAAACCAAAGCAAGGAGUUAACUUUAUCUUUUUGUUCCUUUAACUGCUCCUCUCUUUUGCUCCUCCCAUGGUAAGACUCCAUGGAGAAGUGUGCGGCAAGCUGACCACGAUGACUGGGGCAUUGGCCAGCGAAGCGAGGCGAAUUUUUUUCCCCCUUCUCCUUUCUUCUCCUUUGUUAAGGCAGGUUUUGCGAUUGUCGUUGUGAUUAUUUAAUGCGUCGCGCUGUUUCGGUUUAGCCUUGGAUUUGGGUCCAGAGACCGCAAGAAAAGGGGAGAGGGAGGGGAGGCUCGAUGUCUGCACUUUAUUCCUCCCUCAAAUGGGAUGCCUUGUGUGCUGUUGUAUCCUGGGACGGAGGUUUAGAACUUGAAGACCUGAAAGAGACAGUCCUCCCUUCCGUGCUGCCCUCUUCUCCGCUCGUCUCCUUGUUCCUCCAUUUCUCGCCUUACUAGCUACCUGCAUUCCUUUAGCUCCCCGCAAAAUCGGAUUUUGAGCACUUCUGCGGCCGCUUUUCUUCAAAACCAAGGUUCUGGAUCCCAAACCUCGUGAAGAAGGGUCAAAAUCCUCUUUUUUUUUUUUUUUUCUUCUUCUUCUUCUCUCUUUCUUUGCUUUUGAUCUGGGCAGCCGACUGUGUUGUUGAUCUGCUGCUUUCAAUCGGUGCAGAAAGCUCAUGAAUAAUGUAGUCUCCUUAUUCUAAGCUUCUGCAUUAUUUGGUUCUCUUUCUCCUCUGAAGAUAGCGUAUCUUGGUGCUACUUCUCCAUAAACUUCUUCAGAUUGCUAAAUCCUUGGGAAGGUUUGAGUGCUGCAACGAUGAGAGAUGAAGGUUCCAAGAAGAGCAAGCUGUCAUGGUCCAAGGCUGUCAAAAACUGGUUCAACAUCAAAAUCAAAGGUCAGGAGAGCCAUGCUGAUGAUAUGGUUGGCAAGGGUAGUAGACAAUCGAGAGCCAACUUCUCGGAGAGGGAGGCAUGCACAUGCAAGAAAAGUAGAACAGAUAAAUCAUUGCAAAAGGACGUAGAUCAAGUUCAGCGAGGAAGGUUUGAUCUUCAUCCAGCUCAAAUAACAGACAUUCAGGAUUACAAGAUCUUUGUUGCGACUUGGAAUGUGGGUGGAAGGUCCCCGCCAAAGAACUUAAAUCUCUUGGAUUGGAUACAUGCCUCUUCUCCUGCAGACAUAUAUGUUUUAGGGUUUCAAGAGAUUGUUCCACUUAAUGCUGGAAAUGUUCUCGGUACAGAAGACAAUGUUCCAGCUAAGAAGUGGUCGUGGCUUAUUAGGAAGACCUUGAACAGCCCUGACACAUGUGGCUCAGACAGUUACCAUACACCAUCUCCUGUUCCAAUUCCUAUCUCAGAAUUAAAUGCUGAUUUUGAAAGAUCGUCACUGAAGAAGAAGAAUUCAUCAUUUCUCCACCGCCGUUCCUUUCAUUCUCUGAGUCGUAGUUUAAGAAUGGAGGGGAAUACCAUGCUUUCUCACCCCAUGCUGGAUCGCAGGUUCAGUGUUUGUGAAAGAGUUAGCUUUGGAAGCAGACCAAGUGAUUUUGAUCCUAGUUUAAGAGGCGAAGGUCCUGAAGGAUCAUCUGAUGAUGAGACCAUUGACGAGGAGUCACCUACCUCAAUCUUUUUCUCACCAUUUUAUGCUUAUGGAGGUCCUUCAUAUUCCAACAAAAGGGAAAGGUUAUCUGCAAAUUCUAGGUACUGUUUGGUUGCGAACAAGCAAAUGGUUGGAAUAUUUCUUACAAUUUGGGUUCGCAGUGAUAUUAGAGAGGAUGUGAGAAACUUGAAGGUUUCAUGUGUUGGCCGGGGAUUAAUGGGCUAUCUGGGAAACAAGGGUUCUAUCUCAAUCAGUAUGUCACUGCAUCAAACAACCUUCUGCUUCAUCUGUAGUCACUUAACUUCAGGGCAGAAGGAGGGAGACGAGUUACGCAGAAAUUCCGACGUCAUGGAAAUUCUAAGGAAGACUCGAUUUCCCAAGGUCCAGAAAGGUGAUAAUGAAAAAUCUCCUGAAACAAUUCUUGAUCAUGAUCGCAUAGUAUGGCUCGGGGAUCUGAAUUACCGAAUUGCUCUUUCUUAUCGGUCUGUGAAGACUCUGGUUGAGAUGCGUAAUUGGAGAGCAUUAUUGGAAAAAGAUCAGCUUAGGAUAGAACAACGAUGUGGUCGCGUAUUCAAGGGAUGGAAAGAAGGAAGUAUAUAUUUUCCUCCAACGUAUAAAUAUUCAAACAACUCAGAUCGAUAUGCAGGAGAUGAUAUGAAUCCUAAAGAGAAGCGACGGACACCUGCAUGGUGCGAUCGCAUAUUAUGGCUAGGAGGAGGUCUUAAUCAGUUGUCUUAUGUCCGAGGAGAAUCCAGGUUCUCUGACCAUAGGCCUGUUUUCAGCAUUUUCACCGCAGAGGUUGAAACAAUCAAUUACAGUCGAUCCAAGGACGCAGGUUAUUGUAGUUCACGUGUAGAGGUGGAAGAACUCUUACCAUACUCACAUGGUUAUGCGGGACUGAACUACAACUUAGAUGUUCAGUAUCACUAGGCAUUCAUAUUAUACCAUUUCGUGAAGCAGAAAGCAGUUCUUUUGAUCAAGCAGAUCGGAAAAGAACAUCCUGAUUUCAAUGCCUACAUAAUCCUAGUGAAGGAUUAGGAGAUUCUGCAAAAAAAAAAAAAAAAAAACCCCAUUCACUGAUGUCUAUUGACCAGUUUUGUUUCUCAAAACAUAAGCAUUCAGACAAGCCAGCUUGACAGUUCUCACAUGAAGAGUACUCCUGAAAUAAAGUGCAACAUCUCUGUUGGCUCCAUCACCAAUUUGAAGCUGCUGAAGUAGAUGCUUUUCUAACCUGAUUCCACUUUACAUUUUGCAGUUAUAAAAAUGAGUGCAGAUAAAUAUUAUUUUUAGAGCGAGUAGUAAAGAAGAUCACAGACAAAUAAUGAUGUGCAUAGUUCUUUUCUGUUUCCAAAGAAAUGGUUGAGCUCUGUUUUCAUACUCAUUACACUGGUGAUAAAGAAUGAAACUAUUGUCUGUUCAGUAA